rnacentral:rRNA from 1 species
GGCCCUACGGGGCGCAGCAGGCGCGAAAACUUUACCAUGCGGGCAACCGUGAUAAGGAAACCCCGAGUGCCAGCACAGGCUGGCUGUCCGCCAGUUUAAAUAACUGGUGAAGAAAGGGCCGGGCAAGACCGGUGCCAGCCGCCGCGGUAAUACCGGCGGCUCGAGUGGUGGCCGCUAUUACUGGGCUUAAAGGGUCCGUAGCUUGAUAACUGGGUCCCUUGAGAAAUCCGCCAGCUCAACUGGCGGGCGUUCAGGGGAAACUUGUUUUCUAGGGACCGGGAGAGGUGAGAGGUACUUCAGGGGUAGGGGUGAAAUCUUGUAAUCCUUGAAGGACCACCAGUGGCGAAGGCGUCUCACCAGAACGGACCUGACGGCAAGGGACGAAAGCUAGGGGCACGAACCGGAUUAGAUACCCGGGUAGUCCUAGCCGUAAACGAUACUCGCUAGGUGUCGGCCACGGUGCGACCGUUGUCGGUGCCGUAGGGAAGCCGUGAAGCGAGCCACCUGGGAAGUACGGCCGCAAGGCUGAAACUUAAAGGAAUUGGCGGGGGAGCACCACAACGGGUGGAGCUUGCGGUUUAAUUGGAUUCAACGCCGGAAAUCUUACCGG